rnacentral:rRNA from 1 species
UACGUAGGGUGCGAGCGUUGUCCGGAAUUAUUGGGCGUAAAGGGCUCGUAGGCGGUCUGUCGCGUCGAAAGUGAAAACUCAGGGCUUAACCCUGAGCCUGCUUCCGAUACGGGCAGACUAGAGGUAUGCAGGGGAGAACGGAAUUCCUGGUGUAGCGGUGGAAUGCGCAGAUAUCAGGAGGAACACCGGUGGCGAAGGCGGAUCUCUGGGCCGAUACUGACGCUGAGGAGCGAAAGCGUGGGGAGCGAACAGG